rnacentral:rRNA from 1 species
GUAGGAAUGUGUCCAGAGGUGGGGGACAACCUUGGGAAACUGAGGCUAAAACCGCAUAUGAGCUGAGGCUCAAAGCAGCGAUGCGCCUUUGGAGUAGCCUGCGUCCGAUUAGCUAGUUGGUGGGGUAAAGGCCUACCAAGGCGACGAUCGGUAGCUGGUCUGAGAGGACGACCAGCCACACUGGGACUGAGACACGGCCCAGACUCCUACGGGAGGCAGCAGUGGGGAAUAUUGGACAAUGGGCGCAAGCCUGAUCCAGCAAUGCCGCGUGUGUGAAGAAGGUCUUCGGAUCGUAAAGCACUUUCGACGGGGACGAUGAUGACGGUACCCGUAGAAGAAGCCCCGGCUAACUUCGUGCCAGCAGCCGCGGUAAUACGAAGGGGGCUAGCGUUACUC